AUUGAACGCUGGCGGCAGGCCUAACACAUGCAAGUCGAACGAGUGGCGGACGGGUGAGUAAUGUCUGGGAAACUGCCUGAUGGAGGGGGAUAACUACUGGAAACGGUAGCUAAUACCGCAUACCAUCAGAUGUGCCCAGAUGGGAUUAGCUAGUUGGUGGGGUAACGGCUCACCAAGGCGACGAUCCCUAGCUGGUCUGAGAGGAUGACCAGCCAAACUGGAACUGAGACACGGUCCAGACUCCUACGGGAGGCAGCAGUGGGUAAUAUUGCACAUUGGGCGCCAGCCUGAUGCUACCAUGCCGCGUGUAUGAAGAAGGUCUGCUGGGUGUAAAGUACUUUCAGCGUGGAGGCGUUACCCGCAGAAGAAGCACCGGCUAACUCCGUGCCAGCAGCCGCGGUAAUAC
rnacentral:rRNA from 1 species